CUGCGGUCGGGAUGUUGACUUAUGUCACUCCUGGAAGCAGUGUGGGGAAACACCAUCGAUGGAUGGGCACAUUAACCACA
rnacentral:ribozyme from 1 species